UACGUAGGGGGCAAGCGUUGUCCGGAUUUAUUGGGCGUAAAGAGCGUGUAGGCGGCCAGACAAGUCUGCUGUGAAAACUCGAGGCUCAACCUCGAGCUGUCGGUGGAAACUGUCUGGCUAGAGUCCGGAAGAGGAGAGUGGAAUUCCUGGUGUAGCGGUGAAAUGCGCAGAUAUCAGGAAGAACACCUAUGGCGAAGGCAGUCCCCUGGGCCUGUACUGACGCUGAGGUGCGAAAGCGUGGGGAGCAAACAGG
rnacentral:rRNA from 1 species